GAAACGACCGUGGAAGAUAUAUUUGUCACAAUGCCAUUCUUUGCAUAUUACAUUAAAACACACUUUCAGAGUGCACAUGGCUUCACAGCCUGAUGGCUUCACAAGCAGUUCAUAUGUCGCAAACACGAGGUACAGAAACAAGCCCUUCUUAUUUUACAAUCCAAUUUCUUGUGCACGAGAGAGGACGGUCUUGUUCUUGGUCUUGGGCAUGGAUUUUAGGUGGAUAGUCCUCCAGUUGUCCAAGGACGCUGCAAAGCUGCCACGUAUGAUUAUACAGGUGUAGAUGCAACUUUGUGUAGCAGCGCCGUCUAGAAAGGUUCCAUACCUUCAAAGGGAACAAACAGUAAUUAAAUAUUAGUGCAACCCCAUAUAUGGAAGAGACGUUAAAAUCAACAAAAAGCACAUUUAUAAAAGACAAGAAAAUCAUCUUAUAUAGUACGUAGUAUACUAUUCUCCGAGCAUUUUUUUUAAUAUAGGUUCCUACUAUGGAACAACCCAAAUGAAAAUAGUACUCCUGCUAUUGCGUGUAAUUAGCAAGCAUGUGACAUGAACUGGUCACAGACGACUGGCUAAUCAUUUGCUAGCUUGGAAACUUCUAAGGAGAUGCUAAAUAAGUCCACUCUCUGCAUUUAGCGUCCAUAUUUGCUCAUAACCUCACAAGCAAGCAAACUGUAGAAUUAAUUUCACAGAAAGCAUAUAUAUUCCGGCCGGUGGAUCAAAAACAUAAUAAUGGCAACGAAAACAAGACAGACACUUGUAAUCUAAUAAAGAUGACAAAGGGGAGACCUGCACCUGCUAUUGCGUUUCCUCGUCUUGAAUGUAAACAAUCCAGAUCCCCCCGUCUGGGUCGACGACCAGCACACGAAUAGGCGGAGCUUCGACGGCCUGGUCGUGGGCGGGAGGCGGCGGUGCCAUGAAUGAUAUAGAGCAACGUCUCUUGAGGACGAAACAAAACAAACGGAGGACGCACGUAAGAAGACGGAAAUGAAAUUGAAAAAUAGGUUCAACGAAGAAGGAAAGGAAGCUCAGGAGGGCACCGUUGCGCGGCGGAGAUCUUGUGCUACGUAUGUGGUGCGAAGAGGCCGGGCGGCCGUCGCCGCUGCUGCACGGUUGAGGAGGAGAACUCGAUCGGGGUUGCGCUCGGGGUGGAGAGGGAGAGGAUGGAUGGAAGGAGAUGGAAGGCGUGCUGGUGGUUUGCCCGGCCCAGAGCUGGAGAGGCACGGCGGCAGUCUAUUUGUACGUUUUGUGCUACUAGUACUAGCGCGUAGUACGCGGGGGGCAGUGGCGGUUGGGC
rnacentral:lncRNA from 1 species